rnacentral:rRNA from 1 species
UGGGGGAUAUUGCACAAUGGGCGAAAGCCUGAUGCAGCGACGCCGCGUGGGGGAUGAAGGCCUUCGGGUUGUAAACUUCUUUUGCUCUGAACAAGGCAUGCCUUUGGGGUGUGUUGAGUGUAGGGGUUGAUUAGCGCCGGCUAACUACGUGCCAGCAGCCGCGGUAAUACGUAGGGCGCGAGCGUUGUCCGGAAUUAUUGGGCGUAAAGGGCUUGUAGGUGGCUGGUUGCGUCUGUCGUGAAAGCUCAUGGCUUAACUGUGGGUUUGCGGUGGGUACGGGCUGGCUUGAGUGCAGUAGGGGAGGCUGGAAUUCCUGGUGUAGCGGUGGAAUGCGCAGAUAUCAGGAGGAAUACCGGUGGCGAAGGCGGGUCUCUGGGCUGUUACUGACGCUGAGGAGCGAAAGCGUGGGGAGCGAAUAGG